GUGUCAAUAGGCUACAUGGCUACAUGGAUGGUAGGGUUGCCAGGUGUCCAGUUUUGAACUGGACAGUCCAGUAUUUGAGCAGACUGUCCAGGAUAAAAUAAAUAUAAAUAGCAUAGGCUACUGAACAAGUAUAUGAAUAAUACUCUGUUACCCCCCUUCUUCUGCUUUGCGGCAGAGACCUAGAUCUAGAUACAUUUUAAAUUUAGGGCUUACAGACUACAGUUUUGCAAUUAGUAGAUCUAGAAAUCUACAAUAAAUUUAGUUUCUAAGUAGUACAUGGCAAGCAAUUUUCUCACACUUGACUGUGGCUAUAGGUGCUGAUCUUGAGCUAAACUAAAGGUAAAUGGAACAGCAUGGAUGUGGAAUUUUAGACACAAGGAAGCUGAAGUUAACUUUUAAUUAAGAAUUAAAGAUUGUCCAUGAAAACAAAUAUAAAUUAUAUACUUUGUAAUGCUGUAUUGAUGCAUCUUCUGUUUUAAGUAAUUAAAAAACAUCCA